ACUAGUAAUGCUGUUAAUGAAAUAUAAUGGUUAAUUAUAAAUAACUUAGAAUACCGAUGCAAGAAUAUUUCAAUAGAAAAAUAUUAUUAUUCUUAAUUAUUUUGAAUCUUGAGACAAUUAAAUUUAAAAAUUAUUUCGUAACUGCUUAUGUGUGUGACAUCAUUAUUGGAAUAUUAAAUAAAGUUUUAAAAUGUGUCUCCUCGAUUAUUAUAACAUUUUUCAGCGAAAUCAUUUUUACUCUUUGAAUUAAUAUUAUCAUAUUAUUCAAUAAAAUGCAAUUUAUCUUUGGUUUUUAUUUUUUAUUAUUUUAUUCAUUAGGUAAGAAAUAAAUUCAAUAAAAAAUAAAUUUAUAUUAAUUGAGAUGAAAUGACGAUGUAACUUAGAUCUUUCCUUUUGUAUCACUUGAAGAAUAUUAUCAUAAAGUUUGGGAAAAAAGGCGAAAUGCCAAACUAAAAAUGACUUCGUGGAUUUGUAUCUAGGCACUUGUAUCUCUUUGUGUCUAUUUUAUCGUAAGUUACAUCGAAUUUUUGCAUGUCGCGAAUCAGUGCACUGUCGCCCUUCGUCCUUUGCGAUGCGCGCUUUCCUUACAAAAUCGAGAUCAUUGUCGUAAGUGAACGUGUAGAGAUCGGUGACGAAUCGUGAGUCCUUCUUGUAGUGCUUGCGCGACUUGUUGCUACUGCCCAUGAUCACGCACUAUCUUGUCGUUUUUAUCGUGAGAAUCCGUCGAAUAAAAUUUUCCUCCUCAAGCAACCUUGCAUAUAUGCAGAGUUCACAGACUCGUCUAAAAUUUUUCUUCCAAUUUUAUAUAAUAUUUCAUUCUUUCCACUUUAUGAAAUCGCUUUCUCGCUAUCGCGCAUAGGUGAUCUAGAAAGGGAGUCGUCGAUCAGACUUGGUCUAGAUCAAGGCUGUUGAGAUGCAGCUGAUCCCGAAGACGAGUCACGAGACGACUUGCUUGCGCGCGCGCGAGACGAAGACGGCACGAAACUGCAAAGCGAGUCGAGCGAAAUCCUUCGUUAAGGUUUGCUGGCCGCGAAGGAGGUGCUCAAUGAUGAUGAUGGUGGUGGUGGCGGUCGUGGAGGUGGCCCUGUCUACCGAGGCCUAGCACCUAGGAAGGCUUCUCACAGAGACCCUCGGUGAAAGUGCUGGAAGAAUGUGUUGGCUCGGCCGCGUUUCCGAGUUCGCGCUCGUGCAAUUCGUUUCAUCUCGCGGAAAAUGGGUGGAGAAUCGCAUCCGAUACUGCGCUCGAUGAAUAGUUUACAAUAGCUCUUGGAAUGAAUGAUCUGAUAGCGAAAUACGUUCUUGUAGUCUCGUGUUUGGUGGAUCUCAUUCGAAAGUAAAAUUUCCAGACGCAAGGAAGUCGAUAUAUGAUAUUAUGUCUCAUUAUCUCGGUUUUUGCAUCGUAUUUCGAUUUGUGUAGCAUUGUAUUGCAUUGUCAUUCAUAAUAUGAAAGUUAGUACAUUCGGUAACUCGAUAACUUUGCAAUCUGAUAACUUGACAAACGUGAGCGCUACGAUACGAAACUAAAAGCGCACUUUUUUGGAAAAUUAUACUUGAAAAUAGAGUGUGAAGCUAGACUUUAUAUCAGAAAUAUGCGAAACAUAAAGUCUCACUGGUAGAACUCACUUUUUUUGCAUAAAAAAAUAAGGUAAAGAUAUUAAAGACUAAAGAUACGACAAAAAGACACUGUUUAAGGGAUUUUAAAGAUCCUUUUAAGGAAUCUCAAAAUCUCUUAAACAUUUUAUGAGAAAGUAUUGCGUAAAUCAUUUUCUAAAUAUUUUAUGAAAACAUCUUUAUCUCGUUUUAAUUUGCUGUGUUCUCAUACAUAUUCUCUUUCUCACAGCGUAGAUAAUUGUAUAUUUCGCUAGAGAUAAUUAGAGACAUACAAAAUAGAAAGUUAUACAUUCAAUUGGCACAAUCGUAUUAUGUCGUAUUGUGUGCUGGAAAAGCUAGAGAGUGAUCCGACGCACGCAAAAAUGUUUCAAAUUUAAUGCGCUACGCAAGCUGCAACGUCGUUGCAACAAAAGAUCGUUAAAUCAUCUUCGGGGUCGUGCGUAAAACGUUUCGGUUGACCGAUCAUGCGUUACUUCUGACUUACGCGCGAUUCCAGCAUUCGAUGCACGAUCCUCUCGAUGAUUUAGCGAGCAAAAAUCAAAAUUCGUUGUAUCGGAAAAAUAACGUGUGGACACAUAUUUUUCUCACAAUAAGCAUUGAAAAAGUAAUAUAUCUACAUGCGGGCAGAGCUUGGUUAUUUAUAUUUCAUCGCUCCAUGCACUUCGUCACUUGAAAUCAUCGAACGUGUCAGGGUUUAUCAAUCGCGCGAUAUAAACCAUUACGCCUGUCGAUAUUAAUAAUCAGGAUCUCUUCUUUAUUUUUAAUCAUUCUUCGUGAUACUUGAUAAGUUUUUUUUCCAUAGUUUCGAUAAAUUACAAAAAUUAUCAUAAGUAGAAAGAUGAGUUUUCAUCUUGAGUUUUCGUCAUGAGUAGAUUGAAUUAGGCAAUUUUGUUAAAACUAAGUUCGUUAGAAUAUUUAAAAUUCGAGAUGUUUCUUUGUAUAUCUUGUUACAUGUCUGUUCUCGUAUCAGAGACCUACAUACGCAUCCGCCCACUAUAUACGUAGAUGCCUCCGCAAAAUGCAUUCAAUUUCGCAGACGCGAAACUUUCGACAUGCAGAAUUGGCGCUUUAUCCGCUGUUUGCCAAACAUUCAAGAGCCAGCGGUAACUUGGAAAACAGAAGGAGAGAAGAAAUAUUGGAAAUCGACAGAAUCACCUCUGAGGUGCGACUCGAUCGCGUCGAGAUCGAUCUUUGGCAUUGCUGUCUCGAUGUUGUAAACGUCGAAGCCGCCUGUAACAGUGCGCGAGCGCUAAACGUGAGAACCUUUUGCGGCGAGGAAGGCAUGACCGAAACAG